AUGAAACCUGCUGCACCAUUACAACAACAAAGUCAAUUUAUUGCAACUUUCUUUCUUAGCAAUAUUGGAAAUAUCGAAACUUUGAAAUUGACUUUGGAUUUUCAUCAACAUAAAUCUUGUGAACUUGAGUGGCCCACAUGUUACAAGAUUAUUAAAGGUACUAGUGAGGGACUAAAUCACCUUCACAACUCCCAGGGAAAACAUAUUUACCAUCUAGACUUAAAGCCUGGAAAUAUUUUGUUGGAUGAAAGUAUGACGCCCAAAAUUGGGGAUCUUGGUUUGUCAAGACUCGUUGCUUCAACAAAAACGCGACAAACAGAGAUGCGCGAUGGAACACUCGGGUUCGUGCCACCGGAGUACAUAAAAGAUGGCUUUAUAUCAAAGAAGUUUGACGUGUUCAGUUUGGGCGUCAUAAUUAUAAAAAUAUUGGCUGGGGCUAAGAACUACAUCCGUUGCACUGAAAUGCCCCCCGAAAAGUUUAUUCAGCUUGUCAGUGAAAACUGGACGAAAAAGUUGCAGGAAAAGACGGGACAUUCCUCACACGAAAUAGACAUCCUAGGAGUGACUUCCUGUGUUGGGAUUGCACUAAGGUGUGUGGACGAGGACAGAAACAAAAGGCCAUGUAUCAAGGACAUCGUCGAUGAACUGGAUCAACUAGAAGCUAAGCUUAAAGCAAUGUCACUAGCUUCUGAUGUGUCAAAAGACCUCACUGUCCAGAGAAGCUGUGACACCAACAUUCUGUCGGUGGAUCCGACCAUGGAGCUGCGGUUCCUCUUUGAGCUAAGGAAGGAGGCGUCGUGCUGCCUGCAGCUGACCAACAAGACGGGUGGCUUCAUCGCAUUCAACAUAGAGAUCAACCCCAACAAGUACAGUGUGCGGCCAAGCCAAGGGACCAUGCCGCCGUGCUCCAGGCGUUAUGUUGUCGUGACGCUGUCGGCGCAAGAGGCGGCGCCGCCAUGCAUGCGAUGCGAGGACAUGCUCCUCGUGCAGAGCAUCGGCGUCAGCCAAGAUCUUGGUGAGAUCAAGUAUCAAGAAUUGUUCGAGACGGCCAUGGCGAAUCAGGUGGUUGAUGUGGUGAAGCUGCCGAUCGCUUAUGUCACAUUGGACCAGUAG
rnacentral:rRNA from 1 species